ensembl:lncRNA
AUUACAUAUUCCUCAUCUCCUAAGAUCUCUGAAAGAAUUUAAACAAACGCUGGGAGGUCCGAGACAGCUGCUGCUACAUUGGGCAGAUACUGGGAGCACACUAAGUUCGUUCAGAUGCAGGUCACCACAUGUUGCCAGAAGUUUAAAAAGGUACAAUGUAAUUACUGCAGAUUCCAUCCUCAUAGUUAGCGAGAAGAAAAAUAUCCUUUUGUUCAGCCCAUAGAAGAAAAACAGUGGAAGGAGCCAGUGACAACAGGGAUUUCUGUAGUUUUUGUUUUUGCUUUUUUUUUUUUAUAUGGUUCAACAUCUGACAAAACAAUUUUGAUAAGUUCUAACACAUGUAAUGCACACCUUCAAAAUGAGAGUGAACGUUCAAGUCCUUGGAGAUUGUGUCCAGCCUAAGUAGAUUCACAAUUAUUAUUUCUAGGUGGCUUUGGUAUACUUGCUUGUGUACUCUUACAGUAUUCUUAUAUUUUACCCAAUGUAACAUGAUGGAAACAACAACAACAGGGCAGCAAGAUCCCAGGCUGCAGUGGUUGAGCAUUUGCUCAAACACAACAGCAGCAGGCAGAAAUAAAAGAAAGAAGUUACUCACCUUUAGGAGGCCUCAGAUAUGCAGAAUUCUGCAGCGAGAUACCCUUAAUUCCAUUGGCAACCCUUAAAUGAGGUCUGGAAAGGGGUGGAUCCUGGCCCCACUCCUUCUGGUCAUUCAGGUGUAUUGCAUGCACCUGAGCUCCCUUGGUUGGCCCUGCCUUCCCACCAGGUGCUCAGUCACUGCUUCAGGCUGUGACUUGCAUUUCCACUACAAUCUAAUAUUUUAUAUUUUAUAAUACUCUUAUAUUUUUUGCAGUUGGAAAAAGUCAUUCCGAGCAACAGGUUCAGAAGAGCUUAAGGGAAAUAGAAAGAGAUAUAACUGCUGGUGCCAGGAGGGGACUCUAGGUGUUCUGACUGCAAAUGUCAGCUUUCUCUGCGUAUGAUGGAACUGUGAGGUUCCAUCUUCUUUCUGGAAGAAGAUGCAGAGCAGCCAGCAGGUUGUGCAGGGAGAUAGCUGCUACAGGGCAGAAUCAUACAAUGGAUGUCAGAGUUGAUCUGCUCUGCUGCAGAGCCCCAGGGCAGGUGUGGUGCUCCCCAUGCCGAUCCUAGUAGAUGUUCUCCUGUAGUGAAGAGCUCAAUGAAGUCCAGGCCAAUGUUUCCUGCCCUGGAAGCCAAAUACUGAUGUUUCUGUUAUCUCGUGUGACUGCUUCUUCUGCACCGUAAAUCUAUUUUGUCUGUUUAGGCCAAUUUACUGCCUUCCUGCCCUUUACUUUGCCUCUGGGACACUUACAGUGCCCUUAGUUGGCUUUAAUAAAAGCCUUAUAAAAC